rnacentral:pre_miRNA from 17 species
AAAUACAAUAUUCAGCAAAAGGUUGCGAUAAACAUUCAUUGCUGUCGGUGGGUUUUACUUUUAAACAACUCACUGAUCAGUGAAUGCAAACUGCAACCCAAACAUCUCUGUUCACUAAAG